AGGAGUGAGCAUGUCUGUCUGUUGGUCGGUUCGUAUUAAGUGUCCGCUCUCUAAUUCAAGUUGUUUUCAUCCCAUCUUCACCAAACUUGGUCAGAUGUUGUAUCUAGAUGAUGUCUAGGUCAAGUUCGAAUAUGGGUCAUGCCGUGUCAAAAACUAGGUCACGGGGUCACUUAGUGCGUUUUAAACAUUGAGCAUGGUGUCCGCUGUUUUUUGUGAAGACAACAUGCAAAAUAUUCCGUGUCAAUGCGACAUGUGAGGGUAUUCGCCACGUCUGUGACAAAGCUCUAGUUUUAUUUUAUUUUUUGCUGAUACAAUCAAAAUAGUUUACUUAAAGCAUUAAAAAUGCUAGCCAAAGGCAUAUCUAAUUGAAUGAAUCGUACUUAGCGUAGUUAUAUGAAAUAAAACUGUUUGUGAUCUU